rnacentral:rRNA from 1 species
UCCUGACUGACCGAUAGUGAACCAGUACCGUGAGGGAAAGGCGAAAAGAACCCCGGCGAGGGGAGUGAAAAAGAACCUGAAACCGUGUACGUACAAGCAGUGGGAGCACGCUUAGGCGUGUGACUGCGUACCUUUUGUAUAAUGGGUCAGCGACUUAUAUUCUGUAGCAAGGUUAACCGAAUAGGGGAGCCGAAGGGAAACCGAGUCUUAACUGGGCGUUAAGUUGCAGGGUAUAGACCCGAAACCCGGUGAUCUAGCCAUGGGCAGGUUGAAGGUUGGGUAACACUAACUGGAGGACCGAACCGACUAAUGUUGAAAAAUUAGCGGAUGACUUGUGGCUGGGGGUGAAAGGCCAAUCAAACCGGGAGAUAGCUGGUUCUCCCCGAAAGCUAUUUAGGUAGCGCCUCGUGAAUUCAUCUCCGGGGGUAGAGCACUGUUUCGGCAAGGGGGUCAUCCCGACUUACCAACCCGAUGCAAACUGCGAAUACCGGAGAAUGUUAUCACGGGAGACACACGGCGGGUGCUAACGUCCGUCGUGAAGAGGGAAACAACCCAGACCGCCAGCUAAGGUCCCAAAGUCAUGGUUAAG